GGAUGAACGCUAGCGGCAGGCCUAAUACAUGCAAGUCGAGGGGCAGCGGGGUAGCAAUACUGCCGGCGACCGGCAAACGGGUGCGGAACACGUACGCAACCUUCCUUCAAGAGAUGGAUAGCCCGAAGAAAUUCGGAUUAAUACAUCGUAAAAUCACAGGGUGGCAUCACUUAAUGAUUAAAGAAUUUCGCUUGAAGAUGGGCGUGCGCCUGAUUAGGUAGUUGGUGAGGUAACGGCUCACCAAGCCGACGAUCAGUAACUGGCGUGAGAGCGCGACCAGUCACACGGGCACUGAGACACGGGCCCGACUCCUACGGGAGGCAGCAGUAAGGAAUAUUGGUCAAUGGACGCAAGUCUGAACCAGCCAUGCCGCGUGAAGGAUGAAGGCCCUCUGGGUCGUAAACUUCUUUUAUCUGGGACGAAAUCAUUCUUUUCUAAGGAUGUUGACGGUACCAGAGGAAUAAGCACCGGCUAACUCCGUGCCAGCAGCCGCGGUAAUACGGAGGGUGCAAGCGUUAUCCGGAUUCACUGGGUUUAAAGGGUGCGUAGGCGGAUUUGUAAGUCCGUGGUGAAAUCUCCAGGCUUAACCUGGAAACUGCCAUGGAUACUAUAAAUCUUGAAUGUUGUGGAGGUUAGCGGAAUAUGUCAUGUAGCGGUGAAAUGCAUAGAUAUGACAUAGAACACCAAUUGCGAAGGCAGCUGGCUACACAAAUAUUGACGCUGAGGCACGAAAGCGUGGGGAUCAAACAGGAUUAGAUACCCUGGUAGUCCACGCCCUAAACGAUGAUUACUCGACAUUUGCGAUAUACAGUAAGUGUCUGAGCGAAAG
rnacentral:rRNA from 1 species